CCACCAUCUCCAUGGCUCUUCGAUGCUUUGCCAACUCUCUUCUACCUUAAUCAUCCUCCUGUACUCCCAUAGGCCAUCCCCAUCCAAUCGAUGUGGCUUGAAUCCAAUCGUGUGCGUAAAAAACAAAACAAAACAUGUUGCGCCAUGCCGCACUACUCCCUAGAUUCCCUCUCGCUCACCAUACUUGUCAUCCCACUCAUUGCUAGCACCCAAUCACCGC
rnacentral:lncRNA from 1 species